AACAAACGCUGGCGGCGUGCCUAAUACAUGCAAGUCGAACGGGGAAAGCUUUCGGGUGAGUACUAGUGGCGCACGGGUGAGUAACGCGUGGAUAAUCUGCCUUAGAGUGGGGGAUAACUAGUCGAAAGAUUAGCUAAUACCGCAUAAGACCACAGGAGCUGCGGCUCAAGGGGUCAAAGGUUUUUCGCUCUAAGAUGAGUCCGCGUAAGAUUAGCUAGUUGGUGAGGUAACGGCUCACCAAGGCGACGAUCUCUAACUGGUCUGAGAGGAUGAUCAGUCACACUGGAACUGAGACACGGUCCAGACUCCUACGGGAGGCAGCAGUAGGGAAUAUUGCACAAUGGAGGAAACUCUGAUGCAGCGACGCCGCGUGAGUGAUGAAGGCCUUCGGGUCGUAAAGCUCUGUCGCAGGGGAAUAACACAAUGAAUGUACCCUGUAAGAAAGGAUCGGCUAACUUCGUGCCAGCAGCCGCGGUAACAC
rnacentral:rRNA from 1 species